UGUCGCUUACGGCGGGAAUUCUAGGGAUACUGCUAGACUUGAGGUCGAGAGAGGUCGGAGGUACUCCUGGGGUAGCGGUGAAAUGCUAUAAUCCUGGGGGGACCACCAGUGGCGAAAGCGUCCGACCAGAGCGAGCCUGACGGUAAGGGACGAAAGCCAGGGGAGCGAACGGGAUUAGAUACCCCGGUAGUCCUGGCCGUAAACGCUGUGGGCUAGGUGUUGCAUGCUCUACGAGGGCAUGCAGUGCCGAAGAGAAGUUGAUAAGCCUACCGCCUGGGAAGUACUAUCGCAAGAUAGAAACUUAAAGGAAUUGGCGGGGGAGCACCACAAGGGGUGAAGUCUGCGGUUCAAUUGGAUUCAACGCCGGAAAUCUCACUGGAAGCGACGGCAGGAUGAUGGCCAAGCUGAUGACUUUGCUUGACGAGCCGAGAGGAGGUGCAUGGCUGUCGUCAGCUCGUACCGUAAGGCGUCCUGUUAAGUCAGGCAACGAGCGAGACCCGUACCCUUAUUUGUCAUCUGAUCCCUACGGGGAUCAAGACCCAUUAAGGGGACCGCUGCUGAUAAAGCAGAGGAAGGAGCGAGCAACGAUAGGUCAGUAUGCCCCGAA
rnacentral:rRNA from 1 species